UACAGAGGGUGCGAGCGUUGUCCGGAAUCAUUGGGCGUAAAGCGCGUGUAGGCGGUCCGGUAAGUCCGCUGUGAAAGUCGGGGGCUCAACCCUCGGAUGCCGGUGGAUACUGUCGGGCUUGAGUACGGAAGAGGCGAGUGGAAUUCCUGGUGUAGCGGUGAAAUGCGCAGAUAUCAGGAGGAACACCAAUAGCGAAGGCAGCUCGCUGGGACGUUACUGACACUGAGGCGCGAAAGCGUGGGGAGCGAACAGG
rnacentral:rRNA from 1 species